rnacentral:tRNA from 2 species
GGAGAGGUGGCCGAGUGGCUGAAGGCGCACGCUUGGAAAGCGUGUAAACUUUAAUUAGUUUCGAGGGUUCGAAUCCCUCUCUCUCCGCCA